GCAAGUCGAGCGGACACGUUAAUGCCUGCACCUCCGACGAUAGCCGCAAGGGUGAGUAUAACACAUGAAACCUAACCUAUAAGCGGGAGAGAACAGGGGGAAACGGAUUAUUAUACCACAGUAUAUCUUCUUCCGCUGUUAUGAAGAUUGAAAGACGGAUGUGCUGUCAGUUAUAGAUGACCUUGCGGGGCAUUAGUUAGUUGGUGGGGUAAUGGCUCACCAAGACGAUGAUGCAUAGCCGACCUGAGAGGGUGAUC
rnacentral:rRNA from 1 species